rnacentral:rRNA from 1 species
GUGGGGAAUAUUGCACAAUGGGCGCAAGCCUGAUGCAGCCAUGCCGCGUGUGUGAAGAAGGCCCUAGGGUUGUAAAGCACUUUCAGCGAGGAGGAAAGGUUAGUAUUUAAUAGAUACUAGCUGUGACGUUACUCGCAGAAGAAGCACCGGCUAACUUCGUGCCAGCAGCCGCGGUAAUACGAGGGGUGCAAGCGUUAAUCGGAAUUACUGGGCGUAAAGCGUACGCAGGCGGUUUGUUAAGCGAGAUGUGAAAGCCCCGGGCUCAACCUGGGAACUGCAUUUCGAACUGGCAGACUAGAGUAUGAUAGAGGGUGGUAGAAUUUCAGGUGUAGCGGUGAAAUGCGUAGAGAUCUGAAGGAAUACCGAUGGCGAAGGCAGCCACCUGGGUCAAUACUGACGCUCAUGUACGAAAGCGUGGGGAGCAAACGGG